UUAUUUCUUUGGCUGAAGCGUCGAUUUGGAGCUGGCAUCUCACGUGCUGCUGAGACUGUAGAAAUCAUAGAGAAAGCAUGUGAUGUAUCAAAUUUAGUGUUGACUGAAUCACUAAGAGAAAGGCACAUGGGAUAUCUGCAAGUUAAAAAUGGUUUGGACUUUGAUGGCAGAAACCAAGAAUUGCCGAGUCGAAGUACUUUGUACAUCAACAUCCAAAUCAAAAAACCAAAAGAAGAUUCUAAAAGUUUGAGACGCAAUUUGAAGAUCAAGAAACAAAUGAACAUGUCCCUGGAUUCAGAUUCAGAAGAAGAUUCAAAACAAGAUUCAAAUAGUGUUCAAUCUCAUUCAACAGAAAUGUAGAUCAAUAUCAGAAGAUUUGAGUUAAGUUUUGUGAUUUAUUCUGAUGAAGAUUCAUAUCAAGAAGGUUCAAAGAAUUUUUUUUCUCCCUCUAAAUCCUUUUUGAGCCGUUGUUCUUUGAUUUGGGCCUUUAAAUUGACUACAAUGUUAAUUUGGGCUUUCAUUUGAUGUAAAUUUUGUAUUCGGGCUCAAUCUAGGCUAUUUGAUUGGGUCGGGUUGUGUUGAGCCCUUUGAAAAUGGGCUUCCAAACCUAUUUGUGUUUGUUUAUUUAUGUAUUUUUAAUUUUUAUUUGUCAAAUAAUAUUAGAUGUUGGAUAU
rnacentral:lncRNA from 1 species